rnacentral:rRNA from 1 species
GAGUGGCGAACGGGUGAGUAAUGCAUCGGAACGUGUCCUGUAGUGGGGGAUAGCCCGGCGAAAGCCGGAUUAAUACCGCAUACGACCUGAGGGUGAAAGCGGGGGAUCUUCGGACCUCGCGCUAUAGGAGCGGCCGAUGUCAGAUUAGGUAGUUGGUGGGGUAAAGGCCUACCAAGCCGACGAUCUGUAGCUGGUCUGAGAGGACGACCAGCCACACUGGGACUGAGACACGGCCCAGACUCCUACGGGAGGCAGCAGUGGGGAAUUUUGGACAAUGGGCGCAAGCCUGAUCCAGCCAUGCCGCGUGCAGGAAGAAGGCCUUCGGGUUGUAAACUGCUUUUGUCAGGGAAGAAAUCCUCUGGGUUAAUACCUCGGAGGGAUGACGGUACCUGAAGAAUAAGCACCGGCUAACUACGUGCCAGCAGCCGCGGUAAUACGUAGGGUGCGAGCGUUAAUCGGAAUUACUGGGCGUAAAGCGUGCGCAGGCGGCUUUGCAAGACAGAUGUGAAAUCCCCGGGCUCAACCUGGGAACUGCAUUUGUGACUGCAAGGCUAGAGUGCGGCAGAGGGAGAUGGAAUUCCGCGUGUAGCAGUGAAAUGCGUAGAUAUGCGGAGGAACACCGAUGGCGAAGGCAAUCUCCUGGGCCUGCACUGACGCUCAUGCACGAAAGCGUGGGGAGCAAACAGGAUUAGAUAACCUGGUAGUCCACGCCCUAAACGAUGUCAACUGGUUGUUGGACGGCUUGCUGUUCAG